rnacentral:rRNA from 1 species
UGGGGAAUAUUGCACAAUGGGCGAAAGCCUGAUGCAGCAACGCCGCGUGAGUGAUGAAGGCCUUCGGGUUGUAAAGCUCUGUCUUUUGGGACGAUAAUGACGGUACCAAAGGAGGAAGCCACGGCUAACUACGUGCCAGCAGCCGCGGUAAUACGUAGGUGGCAAGCGUUGUCCGGAUUUACUGGGCGUAAAGGAUGCGUAGGCGGAUUUUUAAGUGAGAUGUGAAAACCCUAAGCUUAACUUGGGGACUGCAUUUCAUACUGGAAAUCUAGAGUGCGGGAGAGGAGAAUGGAAUUCCUAGUGUAGCGGUGAAAUGCGUAGAGAUUAGGAAGAACACCAGUGGCGAAGGCGAUUCUCUGGACCGUAACUGACGCUGAGGCAUGAAAGCGUGGGUAGCAAACAGGAUUAGAUACCCUGGUAGUCCACGCCGUAAACGAUGAGUACUAGGUGUAGGAGGUAUCGACCCCUUCUGUGCCGCAGUUAACACAAUAAGUACUCCGCCUGGGAAGUACGAUCGCAAGAUUAAAACUCAAAUGAAUUGACGGGGUCAUACUGUUUCCUG